rnacentral:rRNA from 1 species
AUAGCGGCAGAGCUCAGAUUUGAAAUCGUGCUUCGGCACGAGUUGUAGAGUGUAGGUGGGAGUCUCUGCGGAGCACAGUGUCCAAGUCCCUUGGAACAGGGCGCCUGAGAGGGUGAGAGCCCCGUGGGGCGCUGCUGCGAAGCUCUGAGGACCCUGCUGACGAGUCGAGUUGCUUUGGGAAUGCAGCUCUAAGCGGGUGGUAAAUUCCAUCUAAGGCUAAAUACUGGCGAGAGACCGAUAGCGAACAAGUACUGUGAAGGAAAGAUGAAAAGCACUUUGAAAAGAGAGUGAAACAGCACGUGAAAUUGUUGAAAGGGAAGGGUAUUGGGCCCGACAUGGGGAGUGCGCACCGUCUGUCUCUUGUAGGCGGCUGCUCUGGGCCGCUCUCUGGGCCAGCAUCGGUUUCCGCUGCCGAGGAGAAUGGGUGCCGGGAAAAGUUGGCUCUUUCGGAAGUGGUUUAUAGCCCGGGUCGGCCCAGGAUGGUUCGGCCGUUGUGGGAGGGAACCCGGAAGGGACUGCUGGCUUUCUGGUCUCGGAAUGCUUGGGCAACUAAUCGGCCGCAAAUUACCCGGCCGGUCUUUGAAA